rnacentral:tRNA from 1 species
GGGGUUGUGGCUCAGCGGUAGAACGCUUUCCUAGCAUGUGAGAGGUCCUGGGUUUGAUCCUCAGCACCCCA